rnacentral:rRNA from 5 species
GAGUUUGAUCUUGGCUCAGAUUGAACGCUGGCGGCAUGCCUUACACAUGCAAGUCGAACGGCAGCACGGGAGCUUGCUCCUGGUGGCGAGUGGCGAACGGGUGAGUAAUGCAUCGGAACGUAUCCUGGAGUGGGGGAUAACGUAGCGAAAGUUACGCUAAUACCGCAUAUUCUGUGAGCAGGAAAGCGGGGGACCUUCGGGCCUCGCGCUCUUGGAGCGGCCGAUGUCGGAUUAGCUAGUUGGUGAGGUAAAGGCUCACCAAGGCGACGAUCCGUAGCAGGUCUGAGAGGAUGAUCUGCCACACUGGAACUGAGACACGGUCCAGACUCCUACGGGAGGCAGCAGUGGGGAAUUUUGGACAAUGGGGGCAACCCUGAUCCAGCCAUGCCGCGUGAGUGAAGAA